AAACAAAGUGUAAAUUUAUCAUCAUUUUCUUCUAAAUUCUAAUGGAGUUGGGAAAGCAUCAAUCAACCCCCUUAUAAAGUGACAAUUUUGGUGUUUAUGGUGAGGGAAAAUUUUCAGAAAAACAAAAUCCCGAGGGCUCAAAUGGUUGCCUAAUUUAGCCUAUCUCAUCGGCACUUAAAAACUUUUCCAUCGCUGGUCUUACAAAUGAAAGCCUGAAACUGUGUACCAUUGCAUAUUCAAUUUCUAAUUUUCCGGUUAUUCUUCUGCCUGCGCGGCUUGGCUGUUUGGCCGCUUCAUGGCCAUCGAUAGUCACCAUUGUUUUUGCUGAACUAUGUAAAAUAUUUGGAUCAAGCAAUGGUUAAUUACAACAAGAUUUGUGGAAAUUCUCUUUUAAUUCUUCUUCUUCUUCUUAUGGCGUUAACUCUUCUGUUUUCUUCUACAGGCAUUGCCAAAUGUCGUCGCCAAAUAUCUGUAAGUCACUUUUAUUUAUGUAUAUUUUGUAAACUAAUGGAUAAUUUUGUUUGUUUGGUUUGCCUGUGUUUGAUUCGAAAAAAAUGUGCACUGUGUUAAUUUGAAAAACUGAAAGCAAAUGUCAUCUAUUGCUUCCUCUGUAAUUGUUAAGAGUGUGUAUGCGUGAGUGUUUGUUGGGUUAGGUGGUUUUAGUUGAAGGUUGUAUAUACAUACAUGUGUCCUUAUGCACAGCGUGUGUGGAUUACAAGGAACUGUAAGGUGGUUUGUAUAUUUUGAAACUAUUGCUAACUAAUUAUCUGGUGUAUAUUGAUUUUGGGAUUAUUAUUAUGUGUUUGGUCAGUGAGUAAAAAUAAACACAGGGGAAGGAAAUGUUGCUGGUAGCAGUAUGUUAUUCAUGUUUUUGGUUUGUAGUUACUUUAGCAACUGAACUGGAACUCUGUUGAAUACUCAAGGACUUUAAGCUGAAUGAAGAUUUUAGUUGAUUAUGUCUCUAGUAGUAAACAAAAAAAUAUGAUACUGAACUUGAAACAUUGCAGUAGUUUGUUGUGAUAAACAAGAAUAGGCAUUCCUACUCAUCGAGGUUGAUUAAAUUAGCAAUUAGGGGUUUUGUAGAUAAAAAAUUUUCAUCGAAAACUAAGAAUUCUAAAUUUCUUGUGAUUUGUGGGGAGAAAGGAUUGUAGGAGAAGAUUAAAUUGGUUCCUAUUGAUUUGCAAAACAGGCCUGAUUGGUACAAGAAGAAAGUCUAUCUAGCGAAUAAGGUGAGAUUAAUAGGAAUGCAACAUAUUAAGAGCGGAGAGUUGCUUGAUUGUAACAUGGAAACGAUGGUGGGAAAUGAAUGACUUUGUUUGAUUAGCAUUGAAAUCACUCAAGAGUAAUCGGGAACUUCAUUUGAUUAUCAUAAUAAGUUUGUCAAUUGCUUCAUUUUUCUUUUCUGUAUUCAUUUAUUUGAUUUUUUUAUGUAGAUGCCAUCAUUGGAACACAAUAAUGAAGUUAAAGGAGGGUCUCAAUUUGAUGAAAUACAUUGACAGUCACUUUGAAGGGCCUUCUCUUUUCCCUGAUGGAAGAUUUAAAGAGAACAUUAUUACUUGUUUUCAGCAAUUUUUUUUCAGAUGCAUAACUUUUGCUUCAUAGGAUCCUAACAAGAGAGAAUUUGCAGAAGAGUUGUUUUCCUACACUGACACAUUCAAUAAAACCGCGCGUUCUUCACUCGAAGGAGAUGGAAAUGAAGCCCGUGAGUUGCUCACUUACCAUAGAACCAUUUUGUUCUAACUGAAGCACUUGUAACACAUUGGCAAACUGUAUCAGGUGCUGCAUUUCAUUAUUUUGAAACGCCUCUCUCCAAGUUCAAUGAUGGGCCUUUUCUUCAAGGCCAGUUUAGCCUAGUAAGUGAAAAUCUUAUCCUCAUUGUGGCAGUUUUGCUAGCUUUUUGCCAUUUAAUGAUUCCGAUAUUCAUAAAGCAUAGAAAGCUAGGUCACAUUAGUAAGCUCCUAAUGCAAUAUAGAAUAGUAUAGACUUUGCUGCAGUUUCAGCAAUCCAUUAUGUUUGGCAUUACUGGAUUGAUUGAUUACUAUGAAAGUAGAAUAAAUUUAACGUGUGCUUGAUCUUUGUUUAUAGGCGGAUAUAGCUUAUGCUCCAUUCAUUGAAAGAUGUAAGCCUUUCUUAUUGGAAGCGAAGAAGUAUGACAUCACUGCAGGGAGGCCUCAACUGGCUACUUGGAUUGAGGUAUAAUGAAUUUGCUUAAAUGUAUUGAAUAGUCAAGUAUUUUAGUAAGUAAUAGUUAACACAUGGAAAUAAUGUAAAUGAGAUCUUUUAUAAUUUUUCAAUGAUAUCUCAUGUUGUUAAUUAAUAUGCUCUGUAGGAGAUGAAGAAUGAGGCUUUCAAUCAAACCUACAAGAAACGAUUUGUCGUAUUCCCAAUUUAUUACAUUGUGAAAUGAAAUUUAGAUGCUUUGAAAUGGUUGUAGGCUUCCAGAUGAAAAGGGUAACCAACUUAUUUCCAAACUCACUGCUUCUGCAGGCUAAGAUCUGAAUUGUGGCUAUACACUCUCUCCAGUCUCAAAAUGACAUAAUCAGUCACGUCGUUGUGUUCUUACAGGGGCACCAAGAUUCUCCAGUUCAAGCGUGGAUUGUUACUAGUGUUAUUAUAGACAACAUUGCACUGUAUUUCAGAAAAGCUAGUUGUAGAAUUUUGUAAUAUAACUGUAUAAUUUAGUAUAUCAAUGAACACUACGGCACUGAAAAUGUUGCAUCAUAUUACACGACUAUAGUUAAUUUUCUUUAGUAACAGUUUGUGAAUCAUCAAUUAACCAAACAAGUUUUCUAAGUUCUAAAAGACAUGAAAAUUCCAUGACAAUUGCUUCAAAGACAAAAACCACCAUCUCCAGGUAAAUAAUUCUAAGGCUAACAGAAACCUUCCACUCUGUUUAUAUUUCAAGACUUGUAACAUCAAAUCUCAAAAAUCUCAAUGAAUCAAAUCUAUUAAUUUCCAGGAUUCUGUAAAUAAUCUGCCGAAAUAAAGCAAUAAAAAAAAUAAAAUUGGAGAUAAAAGAGUUAGUAGAAGAUCGCAAUCAGCCUCAAAUUUGUAUGUAAUGAUAGUAAGAAGCUGUAUUCCAUUGAAGAGAACCUAUAGACAGCCAUAACUGCCAAUCAAUCCAGUAGAUAAAUCCAAAAUUGUUAGCUUAAUAGUCUAUUAAUUUAUUUUUAUACUUCUUAAAUUCAACAACAACAAAAUCCCUUGAACUCUUGUGCCACAUUUUCAAUUUCAAUAUCCAGCCCUGGAGUGGACAUUUCAGAGGGUUCCAAAACUAUCUUCAUAGAUGAAGCCAACCAUUGGAUCAGAGCAAAGAAAAAUUAGAAGAGACAGGCGAACAGCCUGAAAGAGGGAACUUGGGAUUUUGAAGAUAUCUUAUUACACAGUUCCAGUUCAGUUCAGUUAAUUUAAAUUACAGUUAUUUAAAACAGCCCUGACUCGGAAAAGGACUCCCCCAUAAUCUGCACAUUUGAAGAACUUUGCUUCAGCGGGUUAAUACAGGAAUACAAAAGGUUAGAAAAGCCAUGGCCAACAGCACAAACUCUACGCUAGCAUAUGUUUGCAAACAUAAAGCAGAUUGUUGAUGGAACUACUUGAGCAAUACUUUCGAUAUCUUCCCCAUAUACACAACUAAAGAACGUAAGGAAAGCCCUGCUGAGAUAUAGCAAAACAACACCAGCACCUACUAGAAUCCAUGGCCCUGAAAUAUUGCAAAAUAAAAAAUGAAAGAGAGGAAUUAAUAUAGAUGAAGAAACUUCAGAGCAUAAAUCAAGAGAAUCAGUUUUGGAGGAUUCUCUUUCAUGUCAAUUGUAAAAGGAGAUGAUGAACCUGCGAUCUCGAGUAGCGAGAAGGAUGGCCAGUGCAAUCACUGUGUUGCAGUUUUCCACGUGCCAAGGUUAUUUGCAGCAACAGCCUGCAGGAGACCAAUACAGACAUUAUCAUUAUUCAUGGCUAUUAAUCAAAUUUGUUGACAAGCUAGACAAAUUUUUAUUUUUGAAAAAGUAAGACGUAUGAGUGACUAUAUGAGGUCGAAAUACCGAAAAUUGACCUGGUGACAAUCAAAUCUUUUACAAUCAAUUAAUUUGUUUUGGUGUAAACUAGUUCCACAACAAUUCUUCAAUAAUAAAAUGAGUAGGUGAAAUUGAUGUAAUGUAAAUUAUUUGUAUUAAUGAUCUGAUGCAAGCUAAAAUGUGUAAGGUUAAAAGAACUCUAAAAUUAAUUGCAUUGUAACAUGAUGUUUCCUUUUUGGGCUUCAAAUUAAAGGGGAAAAAAUUGGACUUCUUUAAGGAAAUAAGUCCUUGAAGAAGGUUCAAUCUCAAAAGGAAUAAACUUACAAAUAGCAACACUACUUUCAUAAUGUAAUUUUCUUGAGAGCAAGAAUUAAGAUUAGCAUUAGGAGGAUAAGUAUAGUAUUUUUUACUAUAAACACAAGGUAACACAUAUCCAAAGAUUGAAUGGCUGCCGUUUUGAUGAAUUUGGAGACUUUGAGACAUCCUAAUCUAAACUGGCUUCACUAGGAUCUUCUUUAACUGAGUCGGCAUUGCCUUCAUAAGAUCCAACAAGAUUGUUGCAAUCGACAUGAGUCCCCCAUUAUGGUGUACUGAGCAAUUUUAAUGUAAUUUUGUCAUAUGGGUUGUCAUUUUUCUCUUCUCAUGAGCAACAUGCAUCGCGUUAAUUGGAUCGGAUUUAUACAUGUUGGAAUCACCAAUAGCAUCCACUUCCUUUGCAUGUUCAACAUGCAUCUUUGAUGUGUUCUUCAUGGAACUUGAUCUUGUGGAAACCAUGAUGCACAAAUGGGGGGNNNNNNNNNNNNNNNNNNNNNNNNNNNNNNNNNNNNNNNNNNNNNNNNNNNNNNNNNNNNNNNNNNNNNNNNNNNNNNNNNNNNNNNNNNNNNNNNNNNNAAAAAGCCUAAACCAAAAAAACCUCGAGAAGAAAAGAAGGCCCCCCCUUUGGGUGGGAAAAGAAUGAGGAAAAACCCAACCUAAACCAAGAGUCUCCUUUUUUUAGAGAGAGAGAACCCCUUAAUUUGGGGGGGGCCAUAUAGGUUAAGAUUUCGUUUACCUUGAUUCGGAUUUAAUGAGAAUUAAAAUGGGUCGUUCCAAAAAAAUUGAUUCGUCUAUAAAUGAGGAAUUCGAUUCGAUUUGCUAAUUAAACGAAUCGAAUCCCGGUUUAAAGAUAUUUAAAACAAUCACUGUCAAAGUUCUAGAAAUUAUUAGUACAAGCUCGCAAAGAUAUAAAUAUCAAAUAUGCUUUUAAUCUAGAUUUCCUAAUCCAAAUUUGUCUAGUAAAGUUACCUUUACAUUUAAGCUUAGAAUUAGAAGCAUAUCUAGAUUUAUCAUAUAAUGAUAAAUUAGAUGAAAUAACUUUCUUUAUGGACUUCAUGAGCUUAAAGCAUCUAGGUCAUAUGUAUCCUUUAACAUGGUAAAAGUGACGAGUAGAAAUAAACCUUUCAUACUUGCCAUGUGAGCUCGAUGUAUAAUAUGCCACAUAUUUAUGUUCCACUUCAUUAAGGAGCUUUGCCAUAGGUAGUGGUAGUUUGGUCCUUGGUUGAGAGGCUUUAACAAAAAUAGUAUUUGAACUUAAAGCAAUUUCGUUUUGAUAUUCGAGACCAUAAUUAUCUAAAUUAGUUUUUCCUAUAGUUCAAAUCUGAUCAAGUUGCUCCUGUAAGAAUAACAAACACAGUGAGAUAACAAUUUUAAUAGUAGCUAAUUUAAAAAACAAUGUAAACCAGCAAUCGGAAACAAAAAAUGAAGAACAGAAGAGAAAGGAAACUGAAACAGAAUAUGAACCCGAGGCCUGCACAAGACAGUUUCCUUAAAACAUAUUACCACCUCUUGGAAUGCUUUAGGUGGUCUACUGGUAUCUGUUUCCCAGGAUACAACGGGCACGAACUUCCGGCCAAGCACAGCUAAAAAUUUCGGCGAACCACAACAGCGAACUCAAUCAGAGAAAACAAAAGACGAAGACAGAGGGAAAACAAGUGUGGUUUUUGCUGGUUUUUCAAGUGUUUCAAAUGUUCAAAAAACAGAAGAGGAUGUGCAUUUUUAUAGUCAUGUGAGGAUGUAACAGCUGCUUUGUAUUGAAUUUUUGAAUUCAAUAUGUUUUAUUUAAUUGUUAUAACAGCCAAAUCAAUUCAAUGAAUUGAUUUCAAAAUUGAAUUAAAAAAAACGUGAAUUAUAUAACAGCUAAAAAAUAAUUGUUGAAGCUGUUACAAAUCCUUUGAAUUCAAAACGUGAAAUUGUUACAAUAAAAAAUUCAAAAGGAAAUUAAAAACGUGCCAAGCUUGCAUGGAUGAUUUUGGGCUGACAUUCGCGUCGCAGGACGCGCGGGCGCACACAAGUUCAACCAAAUCGGUCUUGGAUUUGCACCCCCCCUGCGCACGCGCGUGUGGAGAGAGCCUCUAUCCUUAUAAUUCUUACUCAUGCAUGGUUAAGUGUUUAUAUAUAAACACUAAUCCCUAUGCUUCUUUUUCCCAUGUGGGAUAAGCCUCAUUUCCUUUCAAAUUUCCAACUUUUAGGGUAAACUUUGAGAGACAAUUUCUCAUUCACCCAAGCACUAUUUUGAGAAAAUAAGAUUAUACUUUUGAAGUAUCAACAAAUCCUUUAAUUCUACUCCGUUGAUACUUCAAAAGUAUAAUCCGAACAUCGCAAGAUUUUUUACUUUUGUUAAGUGGGACCCAUUCAAAAUGUGCCCUCAAAAUAGCAUAUAUACAUGCUAUUUUUUCAACAAUCCCCCACAUGAAUGAAAAUUGGCAGUAAAACAAAAAACUACUAUAUUUUUUACAUCAAAACCAUUUUUGACCUUAAUGGUCGAGUUUAUUGGAUCGAUACCUAGCACAGGAUAGGUAGGUGUUAUCAUUUGAACCUUCCCUUGUAAUAGUAUAAUUACUUUACUGGCUGAUCAGUAGACGCGAUGUCUUUGAACUGUGCGGCCGUUAGUGUAAACGAUCAUAUACUACACAUAUGUGUUUCUCCUAACAUUGUUGAGUUCUCAUGAUUAUGUUCGUUUUGGCCUUGAACAUCUGCCUGGUUCUGUAAGAGUUUCUAAGAGCUGAACCCUUUAUAGCUCCCUUUGAAGCGGCCCCACUUCUCUCUCACAUAGGUGAUAUCUUAAUUAAGAGUAAUUCGCAUUACUCUGCUCGAAUUUCCAACGCAUAAGAAUCAUUAAGAGCCUAGCUCAACCUUAUUCCCCACGGGCAUCAUUGUUUCAUCAUAGGAAUGGUCAAUGAGGUAAUCCUCUCAAGAGAAUGACCCCCAUAGUGAUCCAUCUUUAGUCUUUAACAAAUAGGUUGUCUAAUUUAACCUAGAUCUUGAGAUCUCCAAUCCACUUGGUUGGGUUUUCCUUCGUUAUUGACUAAUCAAUCUAUGGGUUUUAAUCCCAUUCCCCUCGAUGAUUUUUCUACUAACUCUCUAUUUAACCCUUUGGUUAGUGGAUCCGCAAUGUUAUCCUUUGACCUCACAUAGUCAAUAGAAAUAACUCCAGUAAAAAUAAGUUGUCUAAUGGUAUUAUGUCUACGACAUAUGUGUCUAGACUUACCAUUAUACAUAUUGCUUUGUGCCCUACCGAUAGCUGAUUGACUAUUGUAAUGUAUACAAAUUGUAGGCACAUGCUUUGGCCGCUUUGGAAUACCUUUUAAAAAAUUGCGUAGUCAUUCUGCUUCUUCACCACAUUUAUCUGAUGCAAUGAAUUCAGAUUCCAUUGUAGAUCUGGUAAUUACUGUCUGUUUAGAAGAUCUAAUGCACCUGCUAGUGUAAACACAUAGCCACUAGUAGAUUUUGAAUCUUUUACAUCAGAUAUCCAAUUAGCAUCACUAAAUCCUUCUAAUACUUCUGGAUACCUAGUAUAGUAUAGUCCAUAAUUACGAGUGUAUCGAAGAUACCUAAGCACUCUUACGAUAGCUGUUCAGUGAUCAGUUCCUAGAUUACUCGUAUAUCUACUAAGUUUACUUACCGUAUAGGCUAGAUCUGGUUUGGUACAACUUGUUAAGUACAUCAGACUACCUAUUAUUCUAGUAUAUUUUACUUGAGAAAUACCCUCUCCUUUGUUUUUCGAUAGAUAGAUACUAGUAUCUAAUGGAGUUUUAGACAUAGUAUUAUCAUCUUUAUUAAAUUUUCUAAGAAUUUUAUCUACAUAAUGAGUUUGACUUAGAAUAUGUCCAUUAGAAGCCCUUGAGAUUUUAAUUCCCAAAAUGACAUCUGCAAGACCUAUGUCUUUCAUGUCAAACUUAGACUUCAACAUAUUCUUAGUAGAUUUAAUCAUGUCAUCAUCACUCCCAACAAUGAGCAUGUCAUCAACAUAUAAACAUAAAAUGACAUAGCCAUUUUCUGUUUCUUUAACAUAAACACAUUUGUCACAUUCGUUAAUCUUAAAGCCACUUAUGAUCAUCGUAUGAUCAAAUUUCUCAUGCCACUGUUUCGGUGCUUGUUUCAAGCCAUAUAAUGAUUUUACCAAUUUACAAACUUUAUUUUCUUGUCCUGGAGCUAUAAAACCUUCAGGUUGCUCCAUGUAGAUUUCUUCAUCUAAAUCUCCAUUUAAAAAAGUCGUCUUUACAUCCAUUUGAUGAAUCUCGAGAUUGCGCAUAGCUACAAUUACUAUUAUCAUCCGAAUGGAAUUUAUUCUCGUAACAGGAGAAUAAGUAUCAAAGUAAUCAAGGCCUUCUCGUUGCCUAUAACCUUUAAUUACAAGCCUAGCCUUGUACUUAUCGAUUGAUCUAUCGGCUUUUAUUUUCCUUUUGAAAAUCCACUUAUACCCAAAGGUUUACAUCCUGGAGGAAGAUCUACUAGCUCCCAAGUAUGAUUUUGUAAAAUGGAUUCAACUUCAUUGUUAAUGGCUUCUUUCCAUAAAGUGCCUUUAGCUGAAGUUACAGCCUCUUUGAAACUUUGAGGUUCAUUUUCUAGCAAAUACGUCAGAAAAUCUGGACCAAAAGACUUUUCUAUUCUAGCUCUUUUGCUACGUCUGACCACAAUUUUUGUUUCUUCUUCUUCUGAUGCUUCAUUAUUUUCUUCAUUUUCAAUUGUUGUUUCAUGAAAUUUUCGCAAUUCUCUCGAUUCCACUCUAGAAUUGCAAGGAAACACAUGUUCGAAAAAUGAUGCAUUUCUUGAUUCUAUUAUUGUAUUUAUGUGGACAUCUAGAACUUUAGACUCAUGCACUAAAAAUCGAUAAGCACUACUGUUUUGUGCAUAACCAAUGAAAAUGCAGUCAACAGUUUUUGGUCCUAUUUUUACUUUUUUAUUUGGAGGAACCACUACUUUAGCAAGACACCCCCACACUCAUAAGAAUUUAUAUGAAGGUGUUUUACAUUUCCAUAGCUCAUACAGGGUUUUAUCUUCUUGCUUUCAGGAUAUCUUAUUUAACAAAUAAUUAGCUGACAAAACUACUUCUCCCUAUAUAUUCUGGGGUAACCCAGAACUUAUCAACAUUGCAUUCAUCAUUUCCUUUAAAGUUCGAUUCUUUCGUUCUGCAAUCCCAUUAGAUUGAGGUGAAUAUGGAGCCGUGACUUGAUGUAUGAUUCCACUUUGUUCACAUAGUGACAUAAACGGAUCAACAUACUCACCACCACGGUCACUCCUUAAUUAUUUUAUUUUUCUAUUAAGUUGAUUCUCAACUUCAUUUUUGUAGAGAAUAAACUUUUCCAAAGCUUCAUCUUUGCUUUUCAAUAAAUAUACAUAGCAAUAUUUUAUGCAAUCAUUUAUAAAGGUAAUAAAAUAUUUAUUACCACCUCUUGUUUGAAUAGAUUUAAAAUCACAAAUAUCACUAUGUAUUAAAUCAAGUGGUUCGGUGUUUAUUUUAAUUAUUUAGAAAGAUGACCUAGUUAGUUUUGCCUUAACACAAGUUUCACACUUAUGUUUCAAAUUAAUUUGGAAAUUAGGAAUAUGCUUCAUGUUAAUUAAUUUACGCAAAGAAUUAAAAUUAACAUGUCCUAAUCUACCAUGCCAAAGAUUAGAAGACUCAAGCAAAUAAGCAGAAGAACUAGCUUUAUUAUUAAUUGUUGGUUUCAGAGUCAUUACAUUGAGCUUAAAUAGCCCAUCAUUAACAUAACCCUUUCCCAUAUACAUCCCAUUUUUUUUGACAAAACUACCCUAUCUGACUUAAACACCAUUCGAAAACCAUGUUUGUUCAGCAGCGAUCCAGACACCAAGUUCUUCCGAAUUUCUGGCACAUAAAGCACAUCGUUCAGAGUCAGUUCUUUCCCAAACGUCAUCUUCAAAAUCACCUUCCCUUGACCCUCAAUCUUAGACGUAGCCGAAUUCCCCAUGAAUAGCUUCUCUCCAUUGCUAACUGCUUCAAAUGAUGUGAACAACCCUUUGUCCGAGCAAACAUGUCUAGUUGCUCCCGUAUUAAUCCACCAUUCUCUCAGAUUAGAGCCAACCAAAUUCACUUCUGAAACCACUGCAAAGAGGUUUAUGUCUGAAACAUGUUGAGUGAUGCUUUCCACCAUAUUCGCCUCUCGCUUUUUUUUAGGCAACCUGCAAUCCGAAGCCUUGUGACACAUCUUAUCACAAUUAAAACAUUUUCCUUGAAAUUUAGUUUGCUUCUUGGAAAUUCCUCAUUUCGGACCCAAUUUUUUUUUUUUAUUUUUAGGUCCAUGUUCAACAAAAUUUGCCUUUGCCAUAGAAAUAGCCCCUCUUUUUUCUGCAUUUCUGUUAUCUUCCUUAAUUCUGAGCUUAACAACCAGCCCUUCAAUAUUUAUCUCCUUUCAUAUAUGCUUUAAAUAGCUCUUGAAAGCUUUCCAAGCAGGAGGUAAUUUUUCAAUAAUUGCGGCCACUUGAAAAGUUUCACUUAGAUGCAUCCCUUCUGCAAGGAUUUCAAAUAAUAUAAUUUGAAGCUCUUAUACUUGACUUAUUAUAGUUUUAGAAUCCACUAUUUUAUAAUCUAGGAAGCGACCAACAACAAACUUUUUGGUACCCGCAUCCUCAAUUUUAUAUUUCUGGUCUAAAGAUUCCCAUAGCUCCUUGGUUGUUUUCUUUCUUAUGUAUACGUUAUGCAAGGAAUCACUAAGGCCAUUCAUUACAUAAUUUUUACACAAAAAAUCUAAAUGAUGCCAUGCAUCAAUUGCACUUGUAACUUGAAUAUCUGUUUCACCCUCUUUGGUUUAGGAGCAUCCUCGGUCAAGAACCUCGCAAGGUUCAACGUGGUCAAGUAAAAGAAUAUAUUUUGCUGCCAACGUUUGAAAUUCUGGCCAUCGAAUUUUUCUGGCCUUUCCGCAUGAUUGACAGGAAUUGCCACAGAGGCUGGUUCUUUCACAACAGAUGGUGCAGCAAUAGAGGAUGAAACAGGGACAUACGGAACAUCAUCAACGGUUUCAGUUGCCAUCUCAAUGAUAGUUAAGUUAUGUUUUAAGAUUGUAAGAAUAACAAACACAGUGAGAUAACAAUUUUAAUAGUAGCUAAUUUAAACAACAAUGUAAACCAGCAAUUGGAAACAACAAAUGAAGAACAGAAGAGAAAGGAAAUCGAAACAGAAUAUGAACCCGAGGCCUGCACAGGGCAAUUUCCUUAAAACAGAUUUACCACCUCUUGGAGUGCUUUAGGUGGUCUGUUGGUAUCUGUUUCCCAGGAUACAACGAGAACAAACUUCCGGCCAAGCACAGCUGAAAAUUCUGGUGAACUACAACAGCGAACCCGAUCAGAGAAAACAGAAGACGAAGACAGAGGGAAAACAAGUGUGGUUUUUGCUGGUUUUUCAAGUGUUUCAAGUGUUCAAAAAAUAGAAGAGGAGGUGCAUUUUUAUAGUCAUGUGAGGAUGUAAUAGCUGCUUUGUAUUGAAUUCUCGAAUUCAAUAUGUUUUAUUUAAUUGUUAUAACAGCCAAAUCAAUUCAAUGAAUUGAUUUCAAAAUUGAAUUAAAAAAAAACGUGAAUUAUAUAACAGCUAAAAAAUAAUUGUUGAAGCUGUUACAAAUCCUUUGAAUUUAAAACGUGAAACUGUUACAAUAAAAAAUUCAAAAGGAAAUUAAAAACGUGCCAAGCUUGCAUGGAUGAUUUUGGGCUGACAUUCGCGUACGCAGGACGCGCGGGCGCACACGAGUUCAACUAAAUCAGUCUUGGAUUUGCACCCCCCAUGCGUACGCGCGUGUGGAGAGAGCCUCUAUCCUUAUAAUUCUUACUCAUGCAUGGUUAAGUGUUUAUAUAUAAACACUAAUCCUUAUGCUUCUUUUUCCCAUGUGGGAUAAGGCUCAUUUCCUUUCAAAUUUUCAACUUUAAGGGUGAACUUUAAGAGACAAUUUCUCAUUCACCCAAGCACCAUUUUGAGAAAAUAAGAUUAUACUUUUGAAGUAUCAACAGAGUAGAAUCCGAACCUCACAAGAUUUUUCACUUUCUUUAAGUGGGGCCCACUCAAAAUGUGCCCUCAUAAUAGCAUAUAUACAUGUUAUUUUUUCAACAGCUCCAUCGUAGAAUUCAUCAUUGUCAACUAUUUUUGAGUAUUUUCUAGCUUCCCCGAAAUUGCCUUCAAUUUUUCUUCUUUUUCAAGAAUAGUGGUUUGAAAAUUGAUUGUCUUACUUUCAAACAUUAGCUUUUGAUAAAAUAAAAAAAAUCUGAUAAUUGAGCUUCAUUUCUUGCAUUUUUUUAUUCAUUUUUAUCCAUUUUGAAUACAUGUUGGUCAUAUGCUUCACUCAUAGUUCUAGCCAUGGCAUUAACAUCAUGACUACUUUCAACUUCUGAAUUAGAUUAUUGAUCACUGGACUUAAUACUUGAAGUUUUAACAUUAUUAUGAGUGAAGAAUCCGUAAAUCACAGGGAGGAGAAACAUCUCUUGAUUUUUAUCUUUAAUCAUCAGAAUCUUCAAGUUUUAACUUUUUAUCAUGAACAAUAAAUCUGCCAAUAAUAUCCUCAUCAUUAAUGCCCAACUCAUUAUUAUCACUCUAGUUGUUUGGAUUGCUUUCUUUUUUUUUUAAAGAUGUAAUUAGGAUAUUGAACUUGAAUAUGACUAAAACCAUCGUAAACCCCACAUCAAAUACUUCAUUCUAUAUUAGUUUCAAACAAAUUGGAAUUGGAAGAAUAUUUACCCUUUGUGCAGGUUGCAGCUGCAAUGAGAAUUUCUUCAUCUUAUUGCUUCCAAAAUUUCCUCAAGUUAAAUUUUGAAUCUUCUUGGUGAUUAUGGCUAGAGAUCUUUGCAAAAUCUUUAACUUCAUUAUCAGUGUCUUCAGCUUCAUCAUCAUCAUUCUCUAAAUUUGGCAUCUUAACUUGAAAAAGCAAUAUAUUUUUCUUUCUUCUUCUUUAAAUGAUUAGUCUUAAAAGUUUGAAGUUUGCUAAUCAUCAUUUUUUGUCAUGGUGCUAGUAUCACAAUAUUCUUCAAUAGCUGUAACUUUAAUAAGAAAUCCAUCCAAUAAAAAUUUAAAAUUUUUCUAACUAAUUCUUCCUCAUAAAUUCUUUUACCAAGAGAAUAUGAAGUAUUAGUAAUCUUAAGAAGUUUAGCAUUAAAUUCAGCAAUUUCUUCAUGUUCAUGCAUCUUAAUAUUCACAAAUUUAAUUGCAAGUUUUUAAAGUUUAGAACAUUUUACUAAAUGGUUUCCUUCAUGAGUAUCUUGAAAAUGUCCCAAACUUCCUUGGCAAUUGUACAUGUAAAGUUUAAGGGCUAGUUUGGGAUUGCAGUUGUUGAUUAAAUAAGUUGUUUCUACUGUGCAGAUGCAAUAAGCAGCUGAUUAAAAAAGUAGUUUUUUUGCUUGACAAACUGUGUUGUUGAGGUUGCUGUGAGUUUGAAAAGCAGUGUAUAUGCAUUUGAUAAAUUUUAUUACAAACGUGUUAUUUUAUCAUAUAAUGACCAAAAUAGACAUAAGUUUAAAUUAUUUUUUUUAAGUAUGUUCAAUAAUGUUUAGACAUGCCCUUUUUUAUUAAAAGAUGUAAAAUUAUAUUAAGUUAAAAAAACUUAAUGAUUUGUUACAUAAAAUAUGAUAAAAAUUCAUACUAAUAUAUAGUUCAUAUAAAAUAAAAAAGUAAUAUACAUUACUUCCACAUUAAACUUGUUGCAAUAAACACCAUGAAUAUAGAAAAAAUAAAAAUAGAUUGAAUGUUAAAAGUCAUGGUUAUGAAAUUGACUUUUAAAGCUAUGGUUAAUUUUCAUGUGAAAUUGUUCAUAAUUAAAAAUAAAUAAUUAAUUAUAUGCAAGUCUUUUUUAAUCUUAUAAUAGAAAAUACAAGUAUAAUAUAAAAAAUAUGAACUUACUAGAUCAAAACUUUGAUAUUAGAGAGAAUAUAUAGUAGUUAUAGUGGUAAUUUGAUUGUGGUGGUAAUAUGAUAUCUAAUGACUUAUAUAUUAGAGUGUAUGGAGAAAUAUGACAUAAUUAUUUUUGUUAGAAUAUUAAUUAAGCUUAUAAUAGGAACUCUAAAAAGAUAUGGUAGCUUGUUUAAUAAACUGCUUAUGAAAAGUAACAUUCCAACUACUUUUAAAAGAUAUUGUCAAAACAGAGAAAAUUAUAAAAUAAGCAGUUUUUAAAAAAAUUUACCAAACACUAUUUUGUCACAGAUUAUAAAAUAAAUAGUUUAUUGAGUUUCAACCUCAAUCUCAAACGGGGCCUAAAUCAUAUUGAUUGAUGUCAAUUCCAUUGACAAUAUCAUUGAGGGCCUUGGAAUUAAAGCCAAAUUCUUGAAUUUCAGCAAUAGAAAAUUCAUUGACCAUUUUAAAAAUUAUUCUUCCAUCUAGAUCAGACAUGGUGGGCAAAGUAUAGCCUUUUCUUACACAUUCCAUAGUUCUAUUCAAUGGAUUCGAUAAAAGUAGUCAUAUUUUGCAUCCAUUAUGAAUAUUUGGUACCAUCAAGUAAUGAUAGAUGAGCAGUAAAUCCUUCUUCUCUCUGCAAAUCCAUGCCUACAAAAAUAGAUCAAGAUCCUAAAAUCUCACCAACAAGCUAUUAGUGAUACUACUCUGAUAUCACUUGUUAAAAAUUUAGAUCUAUUUAAAAAAGUGUACGCAAAAUAAAAAAAAUAGAUAAAUUAAUUCCCUAAUUAAUCCUGAAAAUGUUGUUCACCAAUUACUAUUCAUGCGAGUUACUGUCAUGGAUACUGUUCAUUGUACUAUUCAUCAUAACUACUCAUUGCAACAUUCACAUUUACUAUUCAUUCAUCAUAAAUAUGCUAAAAACAGUAACUAUAGAAAGUAAAGCACACAAAAAACUUUUAUAUGAUUCGGAUCACAAUCCUAUUUCCAUCAGGCCACGCCCAGACAAUAAGCUAUUUCACUAAGUAAUGAAAAGAUUAUAACAUAUUGGAUUCUUAGAUAAUUUCAAACACCCUCUUACUCUUGCCACCACCUCAUUGUAUCUAACUUAGUCAACCUUACUUAGCAAGAACCCCUCAUCUUUAAUUAUGUUUGUUGUUUUCCUUGAGAUCCCUACAACACAACAAAUGACCUCCUGGUCCCAAAGAGACCAAAGUAAAUAUAUAAAAAAAAUGUCUAGUGAAAGACUUAAUAUGAUAAAGGCUUGAUGACGAAGACCAAAACGUCAUCGAGAUAUGCAAUAUCAUAUUAGCCAAAUGGGUUUCUUCUCGUUCUCUACGUUAACUUCUUCUCUGAUAUAAAAUACAAGAUAUCUUAUUCACAUUCUUCAAAGCAUGAAAUACUUGUCUUUAUACAAGAGUAGUAUUUCACGCAAACCCUAGUAAAGGAAUAUUAAUAUAUACUUCCGUGUACUUGAUAUACUUACCAAUGUAGUCAUCUUUAUUUGAAACUCUUUGAUAUGUUAUCCUCCUUACAUGCCACCUUGGUUCUUUUAUGCCUCUAAAAAUAUUCUCCAAUAUUUCUCGUAAUCUAAUCUUAAUUGAUUCCCAAGGCUAGAUAAAUCACUAAUAAAAGAAAACAAAUAUCUAAUGAAAGAAAGAAAUAAAUUAUUAUAUUACUGACACAAUGAUGCUAAUAAUAAAAACAUAACACUCCUUUAAUCUAAUCUUUCUUAAUGUAUAUAUGAGAUUUUAAUACGUAUCAUUGAAGUAAUUUUAUGAUCAAAAUUUAAUUUACAAUUAACUACUAUUAACCUUAUUUCAUUAGUAAUUUUUAAAUUUUCUCCAUUUCUUUUUAUCACUUUCUCCAAAUCUUAAUUACCUGUCUCUAAAAUUACCUAUCUCUAAAAGAUAAAUUGUGUUUAUUAAGAAAAGCCAUAGAGUAAAUUAAGUCUUGACAAUAGAAUUACUUAAAUGACACAUGUUAAUAUCUCAUACAAACAUUAAUAAAUAUUAGAUCAAGAGAGAAUCUAAAUCAAAUUAUAAAACCCUAAGAAAGGGCAAUUUCUAUUUGCUUUUAAUUUUAAUUUAAGGCUCAAGUUAAGAGAUGCAAGAGAUUUUUAACUAUGGGCAAAGAAUUAGCGAUGAAGUCUAAUCCUUAUCUUGUUAGGGUUAUUGCAUUUACUAAUAAAUUAAUGCAUAAUGUUGAAUGCAAGUUAAACGAGAAAAAUAAAAAUAAAAGGAUGCAGGUGUGUGUAAAUAAUUGGUGUCCUAAAAAGAAAGUUACAAAGUUAUUUUACUGUGUUUUAACCUAAAAUAUAGAGCACUCUAAACAAGAAAAAUAAACUUUCCUCAUAACUAAAAAUAAAAAUUAAAGAACUAACAGUCACAUAAAUAUAUGAGAAUUAAAAUGAGCAAAAAUAAAAACUAACCCAAAUAAAAAGAAAGGAAAUAAAAGUAAAACUAGUGAACUGGAAGACAUAUAAACAAAAUAAUAAGAAUAAUAAUAAUAAUAAUAAUAAUAAUAAGAAGAAGAAGAAGAAGAAGAAGAAGAAAUGAAAAGUCUAUGAAAUCACAUAACUCGCAAAUUUUCACAUGUAGAUUUCAUGCAACCCACUUCACAUGCAAUCAGAUAAAAAUAAUUAAAGCUAAAGUAAAUAAGAUUAAUUUUAUUUCAAGAGCAAGUUUUAAAGCAAAAGUACUAAAGAUUUCAUGCCAAUUACAUGUACUGUUAACGAAAAUCGAUUGCAACUAUUUUUUUAAAGAUAAAAUAAAAUGAAAGACAGUCUGUUUUGGUUCGAUUUUGGUUCAGCUCAAAAUGAUAUGAGAGCUUCUAUGCAAAAUGUGGUUCUUUGGUGAAGAUGGAGACUAGGUUGUCUGGAGACAGUUUUUUGGGAUGGUGAUGGCUGAGACAAAUCUGAAAUCAUAACAAACAGUCGUUAGAGGCGGUGUUGGUGGUAGUUGGCGAUAGCACUCCGACAGUCAAGUCAAUGGGAGGUUGAAGGAGGUGAUGGGUUUCCAAGAAACUCUAGUAUAGAAAAAAGGUUGAGUGUUUUGUGAAUGAGUGACUUUAGUCCCUUGUGAAACCAACUUGACCUUCCUGACCUUUUAAGAUGAAUUGCCCUUAAGGGCGUCUUUGUGUCCUUUUAGACACACUUGGUGGGCUGCUACUAGUGGUUUCCCUUCUUAAGGGUAAUUUGAUCUCUUUUAGAGAGGCUUUUAAGCAGCAUGUCUUUAACUCUAAUUGCCCCAUUUUAAAUAUAUCAAUUGGGUUGAAAAGCACCUAAUUUCGCUGGAUAUGAUGCAUAUGGCUUUGUUUGUGGUCCCCCUUUCUCGAUUUGAUUUUAGAGGCUUGUAAAAAGCUAUUCUAGAGACGGUCUAGAUAUUGUGUUGUAAUGACGUGUCUUGUUAUGGUUGGCGAAGUUUUCUCUAUUAUGUGGUCCCUGGCUGACAUGUGGCAAUGCGGGUAUAAUGGAGGUGACGCUUUCAAUUAUCAUCAAAUAAUUUGGAUGGUUGAUGCUAAUUCUUUGAGAUCUUCCCAUUUCAUCUUCCCUUCUUAGCUUCCCUUUCAUCAUUUAUCAUAGUCCUAGGUCACACUUCCCAUGUAUCAUUCCCUUAAUACCUCUACUCUACAUUUUACCACCACCACAAUCUAAAUUAUAACUAGUGGAAGAAUCAAAUCAAUUUAGAUUAAACUAAUGUUUUGUUAUUAUUCUCGGUAAUAGUGUCAAAAAUUUAUGCAAAUUUUAAUAUAUCUGCAAGUCCAUAGAUCAAUAGAUAGAGACUAAUGGUAAUAAGAUCAAUCCUAGAAGAAUUGCCAAAAUUGAAAAGCCUAAUUAAAUCUCAAUUAAUAUUAGUCCUAACCUAGUUGACGAAAUUUAGUUUUAAAGAAAAUUAAACUAAUUUAACUAAGAGAAGAAUUAAUACAAGGAAAAAUUUAAAAGACAAAGGUUUAGGAGGUUUCAAAAUUUACCAUGGAUCAGCUAAGUAAUUAUCUAUUUAUCAAUUGAUCUCCAAUAUUAGAAUGACAGCUCGAAGAUAAUCAAUAUCACUCUAUGAACAAUUAAGCCAAGUAAUUAAAUUUAAUAUAAUUGUUUUCGCUUCAAUAUAUAUGAUUUCUAAAUAUUAUAUGUAUCUCCUUGAAAAAGAAAUAAAUAAAAUUUCUUAAGCAUUCUAAAUAUCUAAUUUUACAAAAAACAAACGAUGAAAGAGAAAAUUAGGCCAAUUAUCAAGAACAAAAUAAUCAAAGCUAGCUGGCUUAAGGAAGCCAAGCAUGUUUCCUUAUUUCUUAAUUCAUUCCCGUGCAUGCGUAAGUUAGAUUUUCAACCGAUUUGACUUUUGAUUAUUUUGCCUUAAAUUCCACGUAUAAAAUUGGCCCGAUUGCCCCCAAAAUCAAUUAAUCUUCCAUGCUAUUUAAAUUAUUAUUAUUUAUCCAUAAUUCUCAAUGAAUUCCUUAUUCAAUAAAAUAAAUUAAGUAACCAAAAAUAACUAAUAAAACUAACUGGCAAUAUAGAAAUAAGGGUAAUGUAUGUCAAAAACUUGUGCUCAUCAACAAUUGCACCGUCUCUCAUAGUAGUAACUAUUGAUAGUAAUAACAAAAAAUGGGACGAGGGAAAGUGAAAAUAAUUCAUAAAGUGAUAUAAACAAGCCAUGUUAGCUGGAAACCAGGGUCUUAAUUAAAGGACUUCGAAAGAAUUGAGAUCAAUACAUUUCAUACUUCACGUUCACUAAGCUAUCAAAAAAAUCCCAAUAUUAUAGCCCCUGCAACAUAAUUCAGUACAAACCAUUUAUGAUCUAAAACCUACAUUAAUUUGCAAUCGUAUAAUCAUAAGGACUCAAUCAAAUUCUGGUCUAGUACCAAUUUCAAUAUAAGUUAUCUAUUCAUAAAAAUUUGAACUUCAAUUCCAUAAUAGAGCUUGUCAAAGAUUCUCAAUGCUAACUUGCAGAAUGUAUUCAGCUUUACGAUCUUUUCUUCCUUUUUAAAAAAAAAAUUAAAAAAAUAAAGCACAAAAUGACUUUUGCAAAAGAAAAUUCCUCUCAGCGCUACAUGCUUCAUUUGUCCCUAAUCAUUCACUUUAAGAUUUCAUUUAGUAUUGAAGUUAGCCCGCUGUACUAUUUAAACUAUAACACUAAAAUAUUUGGUUAACAUUUACUAUUAUAACUUAGAAGUUAAAAAUAGUUUCAACAAAUGAAUUCCUUGAAACGUUACAUGUUUCAUUUAUCCCUAAUCAUUCACUUUAAAGUCCUGACAUUUGAUAUUGAUAUUAAGUAGUUGUAACUUUUAAGUUAUAAUACUAAAAUAUUUAGUUAAUGUAUACUUGCUAUUGUGACUUGAAAGGUAGAGUUAAUUUGAGUCGAAACUUGUAUAAUAAAAACUUAUAAUAUCUUUAUUAUUUUAUUAAAAAUAUUAUUUAAAUUUUAUGCUUAUUAAACAUUGUCAACUUUUAUUUAUAAUUAUUAUUUUUUUACAUCAAUUGUGUCUUUAAAGGUACAACGCUUUAAUAUAACGUAGGACCUAAAUUAAAAUUAUCAAAAAAUAUUAAAUGAAAAUGAGUAUGCAUCCAGUUGAUCUAGUUGUUUGUUAACUUCCUCAUCCGUAAGCAGCUGAUGCAGUGUGGCGCCGCAAGUUAAUGUUAAAAAGCCCAACAUGCUGCAGAAAUUUGAAUUUUAAAAUACAGACAGUUUUUCAAUUCAACACAAUUAUUUUUGAAAAAUAAAAAUAAAAAUAAAUUUACAGAUGGUAAGAAGAAUUAAAUCAAACGGUUGCCAUAGUCCUACGUUGGCCAAGAUUGAGUCAUCUGAUCCACGACCAACAGGAGCCACUAUGAGAUCUCUGCAAAGUGAACUAAAAACUGAGUUUGAUCAUCACCAUAUACAUAUAUACAUAUAUGUGUGUGUGUAUAUAUAUAUAUCCAAUGUGGGCGUUCUUAUUUUUUUUUAGGCAAACACAUUUUUAAAUCAUUAGAUCAAAAUCAUCAUAAGUCGAAUAAUAAAUUAAUUUUUGAAUAAGAAAAAAGAAAGGACGAAUUUAAAUAAUUAAUUAAUUGUCAAAGUGGGUGAUGGCAGAAGUAUAAUUAGGCUAAUGGGUUGGUAGACUCCGUCUGUUGACGGAGAAACAACGGCGGAAAUAAUGGAGACCAACCACACCCACAUUAUCAAGAAAAACAAACCCACGCUCAUGAAUGAAGCAUGGAACAUUUUGAUUUUGGCAAGGAGAGCGAAGACAAUCAUAAAAAUUCAAUUUAUUGAUACUAAAAAUUGAAUUUAUUGUUUGUAUAUAGAGUAGGAAAUAUCCUUUAUUGAUACUUUAUUUGCACAAUUUUUCCUCAUAGCACAUCGAUAUAAUAAAAUAAUUUAACUGAUUAUUUUUUGUAAUGGACUAUGAUAAUUCUGAUUGAAUAGUGCACUGUGUGUGUACUACGUGUUGUAGGAGUUAUGAGUUUAUGCUGCGUUUAUUUUUUAGAUUGGAGUGAGAAUCCUGAGAAGUGGGAAUCCUUGGAUUAGGAGUGUGGAGUGAGAGUGGGAGUAGGGUGUUUACUUAGACUAAAUGAAAAUAUGGAUUGUCAAUCAGAAUCCUAAUUAUUUGUUUACUUUGUCUUGGAUUGAGAGUAAAUUGUUUUAAAUUACAAUUUAUCCUUAUGUAGAGAAUUAUAAUUUGUAAUUAAAAAAUUAAUAAAAAAUAUAUUUGGAAAAUAAAAUAAAUAUUUUAUUAUAUUUAUAAAUUAAUAAUAAUUACUAAUAUUCUUAAUUAUGUAAAUAAUAAUUUUUUAUUAAUUUUAAUUUAAAUUAUGUGAAUAAAAAUUAUUAAUAAUAGCAACACAAAUGAAAUAUUAUUAUUGAUAAUAUAGUACAAAAUUAAUAUUUUUUUAGAAUAAAAUAUUUAUUAUUAUUAAUUAAAUAAAUAAUUAAUGUUUAUUAAAAUUAAUGUUUAAUAUUAUUAAUUUAAAUAUAAUAUUAAUUUAUUUUAUUAAAUUUAAUAAAAUAAAUAUGAUAUAAUUAUUAUUUUUAAUAAAUAUGAUAUUAUUAUUAUUUUUAAUAAAUAUGAUAUUAUUUAUUUUAUUAAAUAUUAUUUAUUUAUUUAUUUUUAUAAGGAUAAAAUGGGAAGAGGGGGGAGUGGAUUCCCACUCCCACCUCCCCAUGGGAGUGGGAAUCCCACUCCCCACUCCAAAAUUGGGUGGGACCCAUGGAUUCCCACUCACACUCCCUUCUUUUUUAAGCUAAGUAAAUACUGGAGUGGGAGGAAUCCACACUCUACACUCCCACUCCAGAAAAUAAACACUGCCUUAGAGUACUGUAAUGCAUUUUAUUUUUUAUGUUAAAAAAAAUAGAUACUUGAAUAUUAAAAAAAAUCAUAAAUUAUUGAAAAUUGUCAUAAAUUAUCAACAUGGAUUAUCAAUCUAAUUGAGAAUUAUCAAUUUUAUAUUCUUUUUGUGAUUGCAAAAUUUCCCUCUUAUUCUUGAAUCACUAUUUUAUUUAUGAUUAAUUCAAUUACAUUACCAUAGUGAUUCUUAUAAUUUUGGAUGAGUAGUUUUCACAUUCAUCCAACUCAAAAACUUAAAAUUACACAUUUAAAAAAAUUUUGGACUUUAUUUUAAAAAAUGUCGUUAUAGGAAUCUUUAAAUUUUCACAGAUUUUCUUUUCAGAAUAACUUAUUUAAUAUUUUUUAAAUAACUUUAAAUCUUUAAAAAUAAUCCUUAAAUAUACAAAUAGAAAAUUAGAAUGAUGAGCUAGCAUGUGAGGUGUGGCACACUUGUACACGAGUGACAUGAAUGCUUAACAAUACCCUAAUGGUGCGUUUGGCACACGGUAUUAUAUUAUAUUGUAUUGUAUUAUUUUAAUAUUGGUGUAUUGUAUUAUGCUCUUGUCACUGAUGUAAGAUUUAAUAUAAUAUAUUAUAUUGUAUUAAUAUUUUUAUAUUAUAUUAAUAUAUUUAAAUUGUAAUAAUAUUUUAUAUUAUUAUUUAUUUUAAAUUAAUAUUAUUCAUAUUUAUUCAUAUUAUUUAUUAUUAGUUAUAAUAAAUUAUAAAUUUAUUAAUAAAUAAUAAUGUAAAAAUAAAAAUUAUAUAAUAUUAUAUUAAAUUAAAAAGUUAUAUUAUUAUUAUUAUUAUUAUUAUAAAACAAAAGCAAAAGCGAAAGGAAAAAAAAAUAUUAUUAUUAUUAUUAGUAUUAUUAUUAUAAAAAAAAAAGCAAAAGGACAAAAAUAAAAUAAAAUAAAGCAAGCGGACAGAUUUGCCAAACUAAUGUCAGCGUAGGGAUGGCAAUUGUACCCGCAAACCCGCCCAAACCCACCCGCCAAAACCCGCCCGUUGCGGGUAAUUUUAUCCGUUGCGGGCGGGUUUAGUAUUAUAAAUUAAAACCCGCAUAUGGAUGCGGGUGGGUUUGGUAUUAACCUUAUACCCGGUGGAUACCCGCAUGGAUAUCCACCAAACCCGCAAUAAUUUUUUUCAAAUAUUUUUAAUUUAAUUUAAAUAUAAAAAUAUAUAAAGAAAAUAAUGUAAUUAAUCAAAUUACCAAAUAGCAAAAGGCUCAAAGUUGUGUAUGUGUGUAUAUGGCUCAUCUCUUAUUCUAAAGUCAUAACCUAAAGAAAACUAAAGGCAUUUCCCUUCGAAUUAGUAUUUGAAAAUAUUAAUCUUAAUUAUUAUUUUAGGCAUUGUGUUAGAUGGGUGCUUAUGGUGGUGAAUAAAAUAAAUAUAUUCUCUUUGAUCUUGUUUUAAAUGAUAAUAUGAAAUGUAAUUAUUAUUUUUAGAUAUUAGUUUUUUUUUUUUAAAUAGAUUUGUAUAAUUUAUACUUAAAUUUGAGAAUUUGUGUUGAAUUGAUGUGGAAAUUUUAAUUUUUCAUUUACAUUGUUUAAAUAUAAAAUUGAAUAUGUUAUAUGGAACUUGAGGUUAUUAUUAUAAAUUUAUAUAUUAAAUAUUUGUGAUUUUAAAUACGGAAACCCGCAAAAAAUCUGCCGGAUACCAUUGCGGGUUUGCUAAUUGUUAAAACCCGCUGCGGGUGGGUUUUUUUUAAAAAAUUAAAACCCGCUGCGGGUUGCGGGUGGAUUUGGUAAUUUAAAUUUUGUGCGGGUUUGGGUUUGGUAAUGACAAACCCGCUGCGGGCGGUGCCCAUUGCCAUCCCUAUGUCAGCGUGUGGGUCAGGAAGGGGACACCAAAUAUUAAAGACGUGGCAUCAUCGUACUGGAUGGAAUUUGGGCAAUCUUGUCAUUUUAAUUGUCAAUCUCCACUAUAAAACGAGGGUAUGACUCCGCGCCAUUUCUCACAGUAAUCUUCACCUUCAAUUCCAUAAGAGUAGUGCUUGGCACAGGUAAAGAUGAGAGAAAAACAUGAGAGAAGAGAGAAAUUUGGUCUCUCUACCCAUCCACUCUCUCCUUUCUUUUCUUCUUUUUCUCUUAUCUUUUAUCUGUGCUUAGCAUUUUUCUUCGAUAAAAGGCCUCCUAAUCUCUGUCUAGUUAAUAAUGAUUAUAAUUGCUCCCUUUAGCUUUUUUUUUAAAUUAAUAUUUAUUUUUACGAUUAAUCUAGCUGCUACGAUGCCGUGCUAUGUCGAUUAAUUCGUAAACUGGAUUUUUUUAAUUAUUAUGGUUUAUCUUGACAUGGUGAUAUGCUUGCUAUUUAUAAGCUUUUCAUUAGCUGUAAUUUUUUUUAGGCGAUAGCUUAUUAGUUGUUUGAGGUUAUAAUGAUGGCGAUUUAACACUCAAGUCAGCCUCGUUGAUUCUAUUUAGGAUUUUGAUUUGAUGGUGUUAUAGUGCUCUCCCGGAGAUAGUUUUGAAUUUUUUGGUGUUAAUUAUAGGCAUAUCUUGCAAUUCUAUAAGAUUUGUGGAAAAAAUUAAUUUAAAAUAAAAAAGAGAAAAGAAAAGGAUAUGCCCAAAUCUUUACUUAUGAUUGAUCGUCACCAUCGUUUUUGCUGAACUAUGUACAAUAUUUGGAUCAAGCAAUGGUUAAUUGAUGGUAUUAGUGGGUCAACCAAUUUCCCUUAUUGUUGGUUUAAGUGCUGUCCUUUAAUCUGAGGAAAUUUUUGUCACUAUUGACUUAUAACCUAGUUUCGUAGCUAAAACUUAAUAUUCUUUUGUUUCCACUUACGAAAAUUGAAGAAAAAUGAAAAUAUAUAUAUAUGAAGCUAACUGCUGUCCUUUACCGCUUUUUAUUAGUCUAAUACACGCUCACAGCAUCACCUAAGACUUUACUGAACACAGCAAAUGGGGAUUCUUAAACUAAUUACAGUCAAGCCAUGGAGCUCUUGCUUGUUACUUGGUGUCUUGUUCAUCUUUGCUUUCAUGGCUUCUCUUUCUCAUGCAGAAAUUCAAUUCCAUGAGUUUGUUGUACAUACUAAUUUAAUUUGUCAUUCUUUAUUAAUCAUGUCAUUCUUGGACAGAGGAUUUAUACCUCUGACUUGAUGAACACAGAUUGAAGCCAAGCCAGUGAAGAAUAAUAUGUUUAUCAAAAAAAAAAAAAGAAAAAAAGAAGCACAACAUUAUUUUGAUAUCAAUUGUUGCUUGAAGGCAAGGUCUAGCUCUGGUAUGGAGUGGCUUUCACAUGUAAGAAAAAACAUGUUUGCCCUCCCAAAAUACUCACAAGUAAGAAAAAAGCAUCCAUACUCCCUAACACUGGGAUAUCAUGCAUAUGUGAAAUAAGAUUAUCCUUCUAAUUAGCAAUUCCUUCCUCAGAUAAAAGAGCGAAUGCUUCAGCUUCUCGGGUAUUUGACAUAUGGGUUCCUAAAGCUGUCCAUUAAAUCAACUUCAAUAAACAGUUCAAGGCAAGACCUCACAAAUGGGUGCACAUGAUCGCAACAUAAGAAUCUGAGCAGCCAAGAACUCGACUUCGAAAUCGGCCAGCAAUGAGUUGGUUUGCUGAAACCGAACGAGCCACUUAUUUGCUGCCACCCGCUUACAUGAUUCGGUCUUGUCAUUCAAGAAGUGAACAGCUUGCGCCACUUUGAUUUGCAAGUUCAUCUGCAUCAAAUGAAGCCUAGAUUGUAGAAAAUUCGGUGGUGGAUUUUAAGUAGGAUGGUCGUUCAAGGAGAUGCAGCUUCGGCUUCUCUUGGUGGUUGAUUUUCAGUAGGAUGAUUGUUGGAGGAGAUGCGGCUUCCGCUUCUCUUCGUCAAUGUUGUGGGUUUCCUUAUGCGAGGGAUUUACUGUAAUUGUAAAACGAGUGUGUUUGAUCCAUUUAAAAACUAAAAAUAAACAAGACCGAUAAACCAUGAAUGCAAUACUAGAUCAAAUGCUUUGGGCUGAUUAAUCUUGGUGAAUAAAUGUUUGUACCUCUACAAAGAAUGUAUAACUUACUAACAAGAUCUUUAAUUUUGCAAUUUCAGCUGCAUCUCGCCAUGCAAUGCAAGACUUACUCUCAGUAUUGAGUCUGAGUUAACUAAGCAGAUCAAGAAGUAUCAGAUUUAGGAACUGGAAUGUGCUAUUCAGAGAUAAAUAUCAGUCAAACCAAUUACGAUUGUAAGAAAAAGAAAUCAACGAUACAUCAAUUAAUUAACAAACAUAUAAUAGAAUGAAAAGAUAUCAUCAAGUUAUCAAUUAAUUUUCCUCACUAUUAUUGAAUAUUACUCUUCAAAAAAAAAAGUAGUUUAAAAGUAAAAAAAUAAUGCGAGUUAGUCAAUACUUGCACAAGUAAUUAUUGCAUCUCCUCUCUUUACUAAAGUAAUCCACUGCCCAUAAUGAGUUUUAGCUUGUAUUAUCAAAUUUGCCCAUUAUUUGUUAAAUUACUCUUAGUGGGCCGGUAGGAGAGAAUUUGCAAGUUUGGGGGGUAAAAUUAUUAUUUUUAAAUGUAUUAUUAACCUAAAAAAACCAUCAAUUUAAUUAGUCGAAAAAAAUAAAGAUUAUGAUUAUUUUUUAAUGUGAGUUUUUUUUUUAAAAAAAAAAUUUAUAUCACAUGUUAUUUAGAGAUAAUGUCUGGCUAAGUGACUUAAAGAACAAGAUUUAACUAUUAUUAUUAUUUUUUACUUAAUUAACUAUCAAUAACUCAAGUGAAUUUUAUUAAAGAGAAAGAGAAUUUUGGAUUACGAGAUAAUUAUGAUUCGAAAAAUAUAGUGGUUUAGGAUAUUACGCCAUUUCACUACUCUUAUUAAUUCGUAAAGGUAAGCAGUGUUUGUUUGCGGCCACUUGGCAACUGAUGACUGAUGAGGCUACUUGUCUUUUAGAGAAAUAGAAUGGCAUAUGGGUAUAAUUAAAUAAGUAGUGUUUGUUUCUGGCCACUUGAACAACUGAGGAGGCUCCUUCUUUCACCGUGGCCGCCGUCGGCAACAAAGAGAACAAAAACAAGAACAAAAACAAAUUAAGUCCGUCGCCUAUCUGGUGGCGAUCUCAUCACAUCAUUCAUACAAUAUGCUAGCUAGCAAUCUAUACAGUGGACAACAUUUUGCUAGCCACUCAUUGCAUCAUGUACAUGUGAACUAAAAUCAACAUGCCCCCAGCAGUUCAACAUUGGUGGGAGCUGUCUAAAAAGACAAUCGCAUAGUCAGAAAAAUCAAAUGAACGGAGCAAGAAGACAAUUUUUUGGACUGAGUGGGGCACUACCUUAAUGGCUCCGCCACCGCCCGAGGGUGCAUUAGCUGCAGCUGCACCAUGCACCAAAAUCGAUACGGGCCCUUGGAUAAAUGGAUAGAAAUUGGACAGUUGUGACAACUGUCAGUCGACUUUAGGUUAUUCUUAACCAACACCCAUAGUUUUUGAAAAAUGCCAGUCCACCCCUGCUCAAAUGACAAAUACUCAACAUAAACUUCUUGAUGAUUAAAUUAAUUUGAUGAUAAAAUACAGAUUAGCCCAUGUGUUUCUGAUGUAGUUUGUACGUGUUUUCUCUGGGUAUUUGUUUGAGGGAAAAUAGGAAAGGUAAUAGAGCGCCACGUGUCAGCCAAUGGAAUGAUUUCAGCACAAUCGGAGGUACCCUGUAUAAUCCGAGAUGCCCGGCAUGACUUGAGGUACCAUGUAUAAAUAGAGGUACCCUGUACAAUUAGAGGUGUCCCACACAAAUAGAGAUACCCCAUAUAAUAUGAGGUACCCCAUACAAAUAAGGGUACCCCGCGUAAUAGGGGGUACCCCACGUAACUCGAGGUACCCGGCAAAGCGGAUGUAAGAGAAUCCACCGAAAAUAUCCACCAUGAGAAACGUCUCCGCCUCCUAAAAGAUAUUAUUUGAUUUUGUCAGAAUUAGGAAUCAAGAACGUCGUAUCAAAAGGGGGGGACAACCGCCAGCUACCUCUGCUAAAAGUGAAGGACACUGUCCCAAGGACAGUGGUCCCCAGCCGCCUACUCGACAGCUACUGCAGAGGUACCCCGGACCACUCUCUAGCACGCGCCACGUUUCCAAAAGAUAAGAUACGCCGCGAACAUGCAGAUAACGACCCAAAAAAUUAUAAAGAGGUAAAAGGACGUUAGCCAAAAAGGAGUACGCCACGUGGCAGCUAAGGUACUCCAUAUAUAAAGGCGCCUAGGUUUCACUCUCCACCAGGCUCUGAUUGACCUAAAAACACUCACACUCCGAAAAAGAAGUUUUCUUCAACAAAAAACCCUAAUUUACAGAGGGCUAGCUAGCUCUCUUUGCCAUAAAAGCUUGAGUUUGCUAACUUGAGCGUCGGAGUGUGAACGCCGGGGUACCCCGGCUUCACCUCUAACCUCCAUUUCACUGUUUUGCAGGCGUGAAGCUCAUUUUGGAAGGACACCUCUCUUGUUUCUGACCUUCCACCAUUGUUACCACUCUCUCUCUCUCUUUCUCACCUCCCCCGAAUUUCAGAUACACCGCACCACACACAAUAUACUAGUGAGGUACCCCAUCUCCCCCAAAAAUAUAAAUUCAUUGUUCAAGAUAGAUUUUGGCUUUUCCUACCCCAAAAUCAGUUGAAAACAGUAUUAAUAAUGAAUAGGCAACACUUCAACAUUCUCAAAAAUGAAACAAAAAUUUUAAUGAAUAUUUUAGCGGCAUUAGAGAUAUUAAUAUUUACAGUACUUUUUCUAAUUUGGAUGGAUUUUUAAAACACUAGGGAGUUGUGCUGAUUUUUUUUUCUUCUUUUUAUGAAUUGUUAGCUUCUCAUUGAAUCAUUAUCACUCAUUCUGAGAGAAAGUUGCAUUCAACUUAUAAUCGUUGUAAAGCCGGGCCUUUUGAUAUAAAUACAAAAUGUGCAGAUUGCUCCAAUCCUAUUAUUGUGUUUAUCACAUAAAACUAUGAACUUCUAAAGAGAUUAUAAUUAGAUAAAAGCACUUAAGUGUUCUACAAUCUAUUAAAACGUAUCAUGACAUACAUGACGAAGGAUGUCAUCUGAGAUAAUUGAAGCAAACGAUUGUUAACCAGAUGUAGUUGUGUUAUUACAUUCAAAUUAUUUUCUUUUUCUUUCCCAAAGAUUUAAGGAACAUGAGUUUAAUCUUCCAAAUUUUUUAAGUUUGGAAUUUUCUUUUGGCUUCAAAUGCCAUGUACUAUGGAUGAAAGAGAUACUAUUGCUAAAUGCCAUUUUAAAACCUACUGUAAAUAUUAAAAUCAUAAAAGUGGGUAUUUUCUAAUUAUCUUUAUAAAAACUAGAUAAUGUAGGAUGGUUGUUGUUACGAGUAAGAUACUUUCCGAAUGGCAUAACUUGAAUCACAGAUAUCCUUUUUAUUAUGUAUAACAUGCUAUUUUGAAACUUGUGAUGAGACGAACCAAAUCUAUAAUCGCUUGCGCCAUUCUUACCCUAUUGUCCAGCCAAAAAAUUCCACUUAUUUUCUAGUCAUUUUUCAGUUUUAAUUUUUUUUCUUGUUUGUUUUAGGAUUUUUUUUUCUAGAUAUCGAAUUUGGACACCCUUCAUUUUGCUUUUCUUACUUAGACUAGGAGAAUUUAAUUAUGAAAUAAUAUUCUGAAUUUUCCUAUUUUGGUAAAUUUGUGAUAUUUAGUAUUAUUAUAUAAGGGGUCUAAAACUCUAGUUUUGUUAAUUCAAACUAAAUUCAAUAAAACAUCAUUAUCAAAAAACUUAUAUUUUUUCUAUCAUUCAAUUUUAAACGUUUCCGUUUUGUCAUUAGAUAAAUAUUUAUUUUACUUAUAUUAGAGAAAAAUAUAUAUAUAUAUCUACUUUUAGUAUUUUAUCCAAUUUUUUAUCGUGAGAAAAGCAUAGGAGUCCCCAACAAAGAACACGAUCCCGUGCCCGCAUGUCGUCGCCAACGUGAGCACAUUGGUUUGGUCGAGUAAGACCCCAUGACCAAUGGGCCUUUGGUCCAAUGGGAGAAGUCUUGCACUUACAAUGUUGAGUGCAAGGGUUCGAGUCUCCAUAAGAGUAUUAUGGAGAUUAGUUUCAGUUCUACCUCAAUUAUCAAUUAAUUGAGUGGAGACAAUCUCUCCCUUACAAAAUGUGAGUGGAAUAGGCACCUCUCGAAUAUUAGAGAGAGUUUAAAGUAUUUGGGCAAAUACUUCAAUGUGUUAAUGUAAGGCGGUGGUCCCAGUUAUUUUUUAUACGAUUAUAAAUAUUAUAAUUAUAAUGUUGAUAUAAUAUCAGUAAUAAUUUGUGUAUAACAGAAUUAAAAGAAAAAAGAGAGUAAGACCCCAUUGAAUGAUAACAAAUGUUGGAAGAGGAGAGAGGGGCCUAUAGGUGAUAAUACCGAUUAAUAUAUCACAUCAAUCAUCAUGCAUAGUUGGCCACUCGUAGUCAUGAGCUUUCUUGUUUUUAAAGAAACCUCGUUGGAGUGAGGGAAAUAUUAUUUAAAUAAAAAAAAAAGUCAAUAUAAGGUAGGGAAAAUGUAAUGAAGCCUAUCCUUAAGAAAAUACAAAUGCAUCAGUCAUGACCUAGAUUCAUAUUAGGUCAAUUUCUUUACAACAAUAAUAAUAAUUGAAAUUAAACCAAGUUUUCAAUUGAAUUACCAUCCGUGUGCUAUUAGGUUUUUAAUUCAAUGGUAAUCCACAUCCUUGAAUACAUAUCAUAGUUUCAAGCUCUCACGAGUCAUAUUGUCUCAAAUUUUAAUAAAAUUAAACACCUCUUUACAUAUUUGUACGAUUAAAUUUUAAAAUUAUUAUUGUAGAUUUUUGAAGUAUACUAUGAAAUAUAUAUAUAUUAACAUUCAAUUGAUUCCAGAUUAUAAUGUAUUUGUAGAUUUUAAUAGUUUCAAAAGAAUAAAAUUACCAUAAUAUCAUCCAUAGAAAAGAACGACAUAGAGUAUAGGAGAAGAGUCAAAUUGCUAGCAUAUAGAAAGACUAAUGGUGGGCUAGACUAGUGUUGUAGGAUAAAAUUACCCCUCUGUCUAAGCUCUCCUAAUUUUUUAGAUAUAUUUUGCCACCUAUCUUUUAUUGCUAGUGUAUAUUUAGUAUUUUACCACCUUUAUAUUUACUAUUUUACCAUCUUUAUUUUUUCAAUUUAUUAACCACCAAUAACGUGAAUGAAAAUUGCUCAAGAGAUGAUUAGAUUAGGAGAGGAUGCUGAUUCUUCAAUAUUUUUUUCUUCUUUAAUUAGAGUUUGAAACUUAAUUUAUAAAUGUUUAAACUAUUUAUGUAUUGAAUAAAUUAAAAUUGUUAGGAGGCUAAAAUGUUAUUACUACUUUAAUUUAUAAAUCAUGAAAGAGUAAUUUAUAAAUCACGCAAUAAGCCACGUAUUAAUUUUUAAUUGAGUUCACAGCCACGGAUAUGCAGCUAAUACGUUAAUGUAAUAACAGCUAAUAUAUACAUGAAGAAAGUGAUAAUCUAGUUGCUUCAAUUAUAAGCAAGAAAUGAGAAUUUGAUUAAUUAGAUUAUAAGCUUAUAAUUUAGUUGCUUUAAUUUGAGUCCAACUUUCCCCUUUAUCUUCGGUGGAGUUUAUUUUCCUUUUUCAAUUUUUUGUUUGAGUUGUGUUUAUAUGCUCUUUAAUCUAUGGCUUGUUUUCUCUAAUCAUAUAAAGUGGUCAUGAGGUUUAACUUUUGUUAUCUGCAGAUCGAUCACAGCAGUAAUUUAAUUAAUAUAUUAAUUAGCACAUCCAAAUUUUACGUGGAGGGUAGUUAAAAUAGCUAAGUGCCAUCUCAAAUAAAAAUUGAAUUUAUUGUUAGUAUAUAGAGUAGGAAAUAUCCUUUAUUGAUACUUCGUUUGCACAAUUUUUUCUCCUAUCACAAUAUAAUAAAGUAAUUUAAUGAUUAUUUGUUGCAAGGCCGGUUUUAGAAUAUAUGGGGCCUUAGGUAAAAUUUUUUUGUGGGGCCUUUUUUAUUUUGUAAGUUUAAUACUCGAAGAAAUAUAAAAGACUAAAAAAUUCAUUCAACUUUUAACUCUUGAAUUUUAAUAGUAAUAAAAAAGAUCUUAAAAAUUUUCAAAAACCAAACCUAAAAAAACACCAAGAAGAUAUCUUUUUUACUUCUAUUAAAAUUAUAACAAAAAUAAACAACAAAUAAAUAAAAACAAUAUUAUUUUUAAGUAGAAUAUUUAGCAAAAAGUUGAGAUGAUGAAUUGAUUAUCAAAUAAUAGAUAUGCACUUCAUAUUUUAAGAAACUAAUUUUUUUCUUUUUUAAAUGAAUCAAUGAAUGUAAUAAUUCUCUUUGUAAAAAAAGAGAGCAAGAAAUCUAUUUAUCUAUUGAUUUUUUAUAUUACAAGGUUUUAAUGGAAAUUAAAAGGAAUAUUAAAAGUUAAAGAAUUUAUUUUUUUUAGGAAACUUAAAAGGUAAAUUUUUUUUUUGGAAAAACUAAUAAUGAAUGAAUUAAUGACUAAACAAUUUUAUUAAUUAUAUCUCUUGAACAUUAAGGUUACCAAAUAUUGAUUUUCUAUAAAAAAAAAUUCUUAAUUGUGGUAUAACUCUUAAUUAUAAAGAUGUCUAAUAGGCUUUUCUACAAUACAUAAUUAAAAAAAAAAGAUCUUUAUUAAUUAAAGAAUUAUUCAAAAAUACGAAAAAAAAUGAAGCCUUAAAAAAAUAUAGGGAUUUAGGCAAUCGCCUUGUUUGCCUAUAGUUAAAGCCACCCUUGAUUUGUUGUAAUGGACUAUGGUAAUUUGAUUGAGUAGUGUAUUGUGUGUAGAGUGUGUGUUGUAUGAGUUAUGAAUUUGGAGUACGGCAAUCAUUUUAUUUUCUAUGUUAAAAAAAAAAAAAGAUACUGGAAUAUUAAAAAAUUAAUCACUUUUACCAACUAACUAACCUAGCAUGAUAUUAUUGAAGUUAGUAGCUUGAUUAAAUAUUCUUAACUCUAUUUUUUUUUUUUUUUUUUGGCUUUAUCAAUAAAUCUCCAUGAUACUUUUAUUGAAAAUUGUCAUAAAUUAUCAACACGGAUUAUCAACCUAAUUGAGAGUUUUCAAUUUUAUAUUUUUUUAGUGAUUGUAAAAUUUCCCUCUUAUUCCUAAAUCACUAUAUUUAUUUAUGAUUAAUUCAAUUACGCUACUAGAGUGAUUCUUAUAAUUUUGGUUGAGUAGUUUUCACUUUCAUCCAGCUCAAAAACUUAAAAUUACAAAUUGAAAAAAAAAUUUGGAUUUUAUUAUCAGAAAUGCUGUUAUAGGAAUCUUUAAAUUUUCGCAGAUGUUCUUCUCAGAAAAACUUAUUUAACAUUUUUUUUAAGAUAACUUUAAAUCGUUAAAAAUAAUCCACAAAUAUACAAAUAGAAAAUUAGAAUGAUGAGCUACCGUGUGAGGUGUGGCACACUCGUAUCGAAGCGCGUGACUUGAAUGCUAAACAAUAUCCUAAAAUCUGAAAGAUAUCCGCCUCUUCCGAUCAGCCAACGGUUUUGCGAAACUACUAUUGGCGUGUGGGCCAGGAAAGGGACACCGAAUGUUAAAGACGUGGCAUCAAUGUGGUGGAUGGAAUUUGGGCAAUCUCGUCAUUUUAAUUGUCAAUCACGACUAUAAAAUGGAGGACCUCGAACCUCGGCUCCCCACCGUUUCUCAGAUUAUCUUCACCUUUAAUUCGAUAAAAGGCCUCCUUCUGUUCUCUCUGUCAAGGUAAUAAUGAUUAUAAUUCAUCUCUUUAGCAUUUUGGUUUUUUUUUAAAAUUAAUAUUUAUUUUACCGAUUAUUCUAGCUGCUAUUAUGUCGUGCUUUGUCGAUUAAUUCGUAGAUUUUUUUUUUUAGUUAUUAUUGUUUAUCUUGAUAUGGUGAUAUGCUAUUUAUAAGCUUUUCAUUAGCUGUAAACUUUUGUAGGCGAUCGCUUAUUUGUUGUUUGAGGUUAUAAUUAUGGCGAUUUAACACUCAAAUCAGCCUCGUUGAUUCUAUCUAGGGUUUUGAUUUAAUGGUGUUAUAGUGCUCUUUCGGAGAUAAUUUUGAAUUUUUUGGUGUUAAUUUUAGGCGUAUCUUGUAAUUCUAUGAGACUUGUGAAAAAAAAAUAAUUAACAAAGAAAAAGGUAUGCCGAAAUCUUUACUUAUGAUUGAUCGUUCUUGAAAAUCUCUUUUCUAUUUUUUGAUCUAUCUAGAGAUCUACAACUUUUCUAAAUUUUCUGUUAGUUUUUCCUUGAGAGACCUGCCCGAAAGUGUCUUUGAAUUAUGUAGUGACUACGUCUAACACAACUCUGUGUCGUUGGUUAUGUUAAUAUUGUUUGUUUGGUUUGAUUGUUUUGAUUGUUUUGUAUGGAUUUAUUCUGAUGUGGUGUUUCUUUGGUCCAGCAGAUGCAAAUCUUUGUGAAAACUCUCACCGGCAAGACAAUAACCCUUGAGGUUGAAAGCUCCGACACCAUUGAUAAUGUAAAAGCCAAGAUCCAGGACAAGGAAGGGAUCCCACCAGAUCAGCAGAGGCUUAUCUUUGCUGGUAAACAGCUCGAGGAUGGUCGCACACUCGCUGACUAUAAUAUCCAGAAGGAAUCAACCCUCCACUUGGUCCUUCGACUUAGGGGUGGUAUGCAGAUCUUUGUAAAGACCCUCACUGGCAAGACGAUUACUCUUGAGGUGGAAAGCUCCGACACCAUUGACAAUGUGAAAGCCAAGAUUCAAGACAAGGAAGGGAUCCCACCAGACCAACAGAGGCUUAUCUUUGCCGGUAAACAGCUCGAGGAUGGUCGCACACUUGCUGAUUAUAACAUCCAGAAGGAGUCAACCCUCCACUUGGUCCUCCGUCUCCGUGGUGGUAUGCAGAUCUUUGUAAAGACCCUCACUGGAAAGACUAUCACCCUUGAGGUGGAAAGCUCCGACACCAUUGACAAUGUCAAAGCCAAAAUUCAGGAUAAGGAAGGGAUCCCACCAGACCAGCAAAGGCUCAUCUUUGCCGGUAAACAACUAGAGGAUGGACGCACACUUGCAGACUACAACAUCCAGAAGGAAUCAACCCUUCAUUUGGUCCUCCGUCUCAGGGGUGGCAUGCAGAUUUUUGUGAAAACCCUGACUGGUAAGACUAUAACUUUGGAGGUUGAAAGCUCUGACACGAUCGACAAUGUCAAGGCCAAGAUACAGGACAAGGAGGGCAUCCCACCUGAUCAACAGAGGUUAAUCUUUGCCGGCAAACAACUUGAAGAUGGUCGUACUCUUGCUGACUACAACAUCCAGAAGGAGUCAACCCUCCAUUUGGUGCUUCGUCUCCGUGGUGGCAUGCAGAUCUUUGUGAAAACCCUCACCGGAAAAACAAUUACUCUUGAGGUUGAAAGUUCUGACACCAUCGACAACGUGAAAGCAAAAAUUCAGGACAAGGAGGGUAUCCCACCAGAUCAGCAGAGGCUCAUUUUUGCUGGAAAGCAGCUUGAAGAUGGAAGGACUCUUGCAGACUAUAACAUCCAGAAAGAAUCCACUCUUCACUUGGUUCUUCGCCUCCGUGGUGGUAUGCAGAUUUUUGUGAAGACACUCACUGGGAAAACCAUCACAUUGGAGGUUGAGAGUUCGGACACAAUUGACAAUGUGAAGGCUAAGAUCCAGGAUAAGGAGGGGAUUCCCCCAGACCAGCAGAGGUUGAUCUUUGCUGGAAAACAACUUGAGGAUGGAAGGACUCUUGCUGAUUACAACAUCCAGAAGGAGUCCACUCUGCAUCUUGUGCUCCGUCUCCGUGGAGGUUUCUGAGUUUGGUCAUCUGGGUGUGUGUGUGUCUUAUUUGCUUCGGUUUGUCUUGGUUAAUGUUUGCUUGCUAUUGGUGAAAUGGCUUAAAUAACUAUUUGAAGUUUAUUUUGGUUGUGGUAGUUGAACUCUGUUUCUAAGAUAUUGAUAUGGUCCCACUAACGUCCCAUUAUAAUAUCUAAGAAUCUUUUUCUUGAAUAAAUACAUGUUUAAUGUGCAGUACUUAUAUUGGUUGAUCGCCCAUUUCUUGUUUGAUGUGUGUGUUGGUGUUUCGAUUUGUUUCAAUUAAACAGUGUAAAUCUAUCUGCAUUUUCUUCUAAAUUCUAAUGGAGUUGGGGAAGCAUCAAUCAAUCCCCUUAUAUAACGACAAUUUGGUGAUGAUGGUGAGGGAAAACUCUCGGAAAAACAAAAUCCCGAGGGCUCAAAUGUUUGCCUAAUUUAGCCUAUUUUCAUCAGCCCUUUAAAACUUUUCCAUCGCUGGUUUUACAAAUGAAGCCUGAAACCGUGUACCAUUGCAUAUUCAAAAUCUGGCCGCUGGCCGCCAGGAAAGAUAAAUUACUUACGAAUUUUACGUUUGGUAUUGU
rnacentral:lncRNA from 1 species